GACGAACGCUGGCGGCGUGCUUAACACAUGCAAGUCGAACGGAAAGGCCCUGCUUUUGUGGGGUGCUCGAGUGGCGAACGGGUGAGUAACACGUGAGUAACCUGCCCUUGACUUUGGGAUAACUUCAGGAAACUGGGGCUAAUACCGGAUAGGAGCUCCUGCUGCAUGGUGGGGGUUGGAAAGUUUCGGCGGUUGGGGAUGGACUCGCGGCUUAUCAGCUUGUUGGUGGGGUAGUGGCUUACCAAGGCUUUGACGGGUAGCCGGCCUGAGAGGGUGACCGGCCACAUGGGGACUGAGAUACGGCCCAGACUCCUACGGGAGGCAGCAGUGGGGAAUAUUGCACAAUGGGCGGAAGCCUGAUGCAGCAACGCCGCGUGCGGGAUGACGGCCUUCGGGUUGUAAACCGCUUUCACCUGUGACGAAGCGUGAGUGACGGUAAUGGGUAAAGAAGCACCGGCUAACUACGUG
rnacentral:rRNA from 1 species